rfam:Triticum aestivum genome assembly, contig: Triticum_aestivum_CS42_TGACv1_scaffold_096502_2AL
AUUCUACUCCCUCCGUUGCACAAUACUACAUGCCUUCUAUUUGUCAAAAUAUAUAUGUAUCGAGACAUGUCUUAGUAUAUAGGUACAUCCAUUUUUGGACAAAUGGAAGUCAAGUAUUUUGGAACGGAGGGAGUACACA